GUACACUCAUGCGGGAGGCAGCAGUGGGGAAUUUUGGACAAUGGGCGAAAGCCUGAUCCAGCAAUGCCGCGUGAGUGAAGAAGGCCUUCGGGUUGUAAAGCUCUUUUGUCAGGGAAGAAACGGUGAAAGCUAAUAUCUUUUGCUAAUGACGGUACCUGAAGAAUAAGCACCGGCUAACUACGUGCCAGCAGCCGCGGUAAUACGUAGGGUGCAAGCGUUAAUCGGAAUUACUGGGCGUAAAGCGUGCGCAGGCGGUUUUGUAAGUCUGAUGUGAAAUCCCCGGGCUCAACCUGGGAAUUGCAUUGGAGACUGCAAGGCUAGAAUCUGGCAGAGGGGGGUAGAAUUCCACGUGUAGCAGUGAAAUGCGUAGAUAUGUGGAGGAACACCGAUGGCGAAGGCAGCCCCCUGGGUCAAGAUUGACGCUCAUGCACGAAAGCGUGGGGAGCAAACAGGAUUAGAAACCCCAGUAGUCCCAUGA
rnacentral:rRNA from 1 species